rnacentral:rRNA from 1 species
GACGUAGGGCGCGAGCGUUUGUCCGGAUUUAUUGGGCGUAAAGAGCUCGUAGGCGGCUUGUUGCGUCGGCUGUGAAAUCCCGUGGCUUAACUGCGGGCUUGCGGACGAUACGGGCGGGCUAGAGUUCGGUAGGGGAGACUGGAAUUCCUGGUGGAGUGGUGAAAUGCGUAGAUAUCCGGAAGAACACCAAAGGCGAAGGCAGUGUCCUGGCUGGUUCCUGACGCUAAGGUGCGAAAGCUAGGGGAGCGAACGGG